GGUUAAGCGACUAAGCGUACACGGUGGAUGCCUAGGCAGUCAGAGGCGAUGAAGGGCGUGCUAAUCUGCGAAAAGCGUCGGUAAGGUGAUAUGAACCGUUACAACCGACGAUACCCGAAUGGGGAAACCCAGUGCAAUUCGUUGCACUAUUGCAUGGUGAAUACAUAGCCAUGCAAGGCGAACCGGGGGAACUGAAACAUCUAAGUACCCCGAGGAAAAGAAAUCAACCGAGAUUCCCCCAGUAGCGGCGAGCGAACGGGGAGGAGCCCAGAACCUGAAUCAGCGUAUGUGUUAGUGGAAGCGUCUGGAAAGUCGCACGGUACAGGGUGAUAGUCCCGUACACAAAAAUGCAUAUGUUGUGAGUUCGAUGAGUAGGGCGGGACACGUGACAUCCUGUCUGAAUAUGGGGGGACCAUCCUCCAAGGCUAAAUACUCCUGACUGACCGAUAGUGAACCAGUACCGUGAGGGAAAGGCGAAAAGAACCCCGGCGAGGGGAGUGAAAUAGAACCUGAAACCGUGUACGUACAAGCAGUGGGAGCACCUUCGUGGUGUGACUGCGUACCUUUUGUAUAAUGGGUCAGCGACUUAUAUUUUGUAGCAAGGUUAACCGAAUAGGGGAGCCGUAGGGAAACCGAGUCUUAACUGGGCGAAUAGUUGCAAGGUAUAGACCCGAAACCCGGUGAUCUAGCCAUGGGCAGGUUGAAGGUUGGGUAACACUAACUGGAGGACCGAACCGACUAAUGUUGAAAAAUUAGCGGAUGACUUGUGGCUGGGGGUGAAAGGCCAAUCAAACCGGGAGAUAGCUGGUUCUCCCCGAAAGCUAUUUAGGUAGCGCCUCGUGAACUCAUCUUCGGGGGUAGAGCACUGUUUCGGCUAGGGGGUCAUCCCGACUUACCAAACCGAUGCAAACUCCGAAUACCGAAGAAUGUUAUCACGGGAGACACACGGCGGGUGCUAACGUCCGUCGUGAAGAGGGAAACAACCCAGACCGCCAGCUAAGGUCCCAAAGUCAUGGUUAAGUGGGAAACGAUGUGGGAAGGCAUAGACAGCCAGGAUGUUGGCUUAGAAGCAGCCAUCAUUUAAAGAAAGCGUAAUAGCUCACUGGUCGAGUCGGCCUGCGCGGAAGAUGUAACGGGGCUAAACCAUGCACCGAAGCUGCGGCAGCGACACUUAGGUGUUGUUGGGUAGGGGAGCGUUCUGUAAGCCGUUGAAGGUGACCUGUGAGGGUUGCUGGAGGUAUCAGAAGUGCGAAUGCUGACAUAAGUAACGAUAAUGCGGGUGAAAAACCCGCACGCCGGAAGACCAAGGGUUCCUGUCCAACGUUAAUCGGGGCAGGGUGAGUCGACCCCUAAGGCGAGGCUGAAAAGCGUAGUCGAUGGGAAACAGGUUAAUAUUCCUGUACUUGGUGUUACUGCGAAGGGGGGACGGAGAAGGCUAGGCUAGCCGGGCGACGGUUGUCCCGGUUUAAGCAUGUAGGCGGAGUGACUUGGUAAAUCCGGUUGCUUAUCAACGCUGAGGUGUGAUGACGAGCCACUACGGUGGUGAAGUAGUUGAUGCCAAGCUUCCAGGAAAAGCCUCUAAGCAUCAGGUAACAUUAAAUCGUACCCCAAACCGACACAGGUGGUCAGGUAGAGAAUACUCAGGCGCUUGAGAGAACUCGGGUGAAGGAACUAGGCAAAAUGGUGCCGUAACUUCGGGAGAAGGCACGCUGGCAUUAGGUAAAGAGACUUGCUCUCGGCGC
rnacentral:rRNA from 1 species